rnacentral:rRNA from 1 species
UACGUAGGGGGCUAGCGUUGUCCGGAUUUAUUGGGCGUAAAGAGCGUGUAGGCGGCCUGGUAGGUCUGCUGUGAAAACUCGAGGCUCAACCUCGAGAUGUCGGCGGAAACCAUCUGGCUAGAGUCCGGAAGAGGAGAGUGGAAUUCCUGGUGUAGCGGUGAAAUGCGCAGAUAUCAGGAGGAACACCGGUGGCGAAGGCGGCAUCCUGGACCGGUAUUGACGCUGAGGAGCGAAAGCGUGGGGAGCGAACAGG